AUACGGAGGAUCCGAGCGUUAUCCGGAUUUAUUGGGUUUAAAGGGUGCGCAGGCGGCCAUUUAAGUCAGCGGUUAAAUCGUGGGGCUCAACCCCAUUCUGCCGUUGAUACUGGGUGGCUUGAUUGCGGUCGAGGUUGGCGGAAUUCGUUGUGUAGCGGUGAAAUGCAUAGAUAUGACGAAGAACACCGAUUGCGUAGGCAGCUGACCAGACCGCAAAUGACGCUCAUGCACGAAAGUGCGGGGAUCGAACAGGAUUAGAUACCCUGGUAGUCCGCACAGUAAACGAUGAAUACUUGUUUUCGGCGAUAUAAUGUCGGAGGCAAAGCGAAAGCGAUAAGUAUUCCACCUGGGGAGUACGCCGUCAACGGUGAAACUCAAAGGAAUUGACGGGG
rnacentral:rRNA from 1 species